GUUCAGGUUGAAUAAUUUUUAUAUAUACAGUUUUCUUUAUAUCACUUGUUAUUGUCACAAAAUCAAAUUCAAGUCUUAAAAAAGAGGAAGAAAGUGAUAAAGGUCUUACAAGAAACGCAACAUAUCAACAAUUCGUACUGUAACAUGGAACGACAACAUUGGUGUUCAUUUUGUCUUAUCCGUUUUAAGAAUGAGUUUAGGUUACGAGCUCAUCUUUAUAUCCAUGCAAAACAACCACGCAUUCCUUGUAGUAUGUGUCCGUUAACAUUUGUGCAUUAUAGUCAAUUAGGACAUCAUCUCAGAUAUAGGCAUUCAGAUUAUAUCAUCAACACGUUUGUUGAAAAUGCUGAAAGUAUUUAUUGAAAAGAUAUAACAGACAUCACUCCUGAGGUAAAAUCCGUUUCCGAAUGGACAGACAGUUCCGAAGAGCAGUGAGGAAGGGGAUAUUUCGGAGGAUACAGAUUCUAAAAUUGUGGAAGAGCCCGUGGAAAACUUUUCGACUGAAAUACAAUACAUAUUAGCACAAAAUGGGGAUGAUGUUUCUGACAAUAAAAAUCCUAUAGGCGAAUUCGAUUCGAAAGGAGGCAAUACUAAACAUAUGAACAAUUUAGAUGGACAGAAUGGCAUUCUAUCGAGUUGUGGUGUUUCAUUUCUUGUCGAAUUAGAAAGGGAAAAUGCAGGAACAUAUUAUUUUAAUAUCACAAGGAACAUUCCUUAAUCAGACGAUAAUUCUAAACUACCCAUAUUACAACAGCGUAUGGAGUUGGAGUUCCUCAGUUCAGAUGACAGUGUGUCUUUUCAACGAACUCGAGAUGAAAAUACAGAGCCUGACUUACGUUUUAUGAGCAUAUUUGAUGAUCUUCCAUAAUGGCCAUGAUGUGUUCUCUCUACUGCUGUAUCACUGCAGGUAAUCAUCCAUAAAUUAUGAAAAUGCAUAAUAUAAAAUGUAUAUUAAAUAAAAUUUUCAACAUGAGAAAAAUACUCAAACUUAAUAAAUCUGCAUUCGAGGCUAUUAAUUAGGAUCUGUAAAAAAAUUCAAAAUGAACUUAUUUUUUUAAGUGUACACUGUUGUCCAUUGUUCAUUCAUUAAAAAAUUGAGAAUGAUAAUGAGGAAUGUCUCAAAGGAACAAGAACCCGACCAUAAAAAACAACAGUACAAGGUCACCAACAGGUGUCUCCUUUUUUAUAUUUAAUUAUUGACUCUUUUUUAUUACUCAUUUCAGGAGAACAUUCAAACUUGUGGAAUAAUCACACAGCAUCAGAAGCAAAUGUUUCGACGACUAUUUUAAACAGGUUUAUUCAAAUGACUGUUCGAAAAAAGCAAUACAUAUAUUAAGAUAAUAAACUGUACAUUUAUUCUACCUAACAUGACAGCUCUAUUGAAUGUGGUUUACUUUUGCUGAAAAAAAAGGAAUUAAAAAGUAGUCACGUACAGCAGUCGUAUCUUCAACUAAUUGCGAAUAAAUGACAUUUUUCCUUUGCAAGGAGAGUCUUUAAAAAGUCGACUCUUGCUUGCCAAAAAUAAACAAUAGAUAUAGGAAGAUGUGGUGUGAGUGCCAAUGAGACAACUCUCCAUCCAAAUAACAAUUUAAAAAUUAAACCAUUAUAGGUUAAAGUACGGCCUUCAAGCACUUUUAUGAAAAGAUGUCUUGUAUGACCAUACCAAUGGCAAGUUCAAUUUUAGACAAUUAGUGGUAAACGCAUUCGAACACAUGUAUCGGCAUUCGAGGUUACUGAUUAUUUAAAAAAAAAAAACCAUCUGAAUAAAACUAAGUGUACACUGUUUUCCACUGGACAUACAUUACUUAUUUCAAUAAUUUUCAACAAUUGUAUAUUUUUUAUCAUUAAUGUCAGGAGAAUUUUCAAACUUGUGGAAUGAUCUAAUAACCGCAGAAUUAAACAAAUCGUCUUUCUUUUUUUAUAAAACAGUAAUAUACUAUUUAAUUAUUGUCUCUUUUUAUUCUUAAUUUCAGGAAAAUCUCCCAACUUGGUGAAUAAUCUCACAACAUCAGAAGCAAAACUUAUGGAAAUCUUUACAAACAGUUAUAUUUAACUGUUAGGAAAAGCAAUAAUCAAUAUCAAGAUAGUCAAAUGUACAUUGAAUCUACCUUAUAUGACGGCACUUAUGAAUGAAGUUUAAUUUACCAAAAAAUAACUAACAAAAGAAGGCACGUAAAACGGUCUUAUCCAUAAGCAAUUUAAACAGUCGAAACUAGUAACAAAGUAUGCACCAAAAUAAAUAAGCACUUUUAUAACAAGAUGCUUUCAAUGAACAUAACAAUGGUAGGGUCAUAUUUCAGACAAUAAGUCAUGAACGCAUUCGUAAACAUAUAUGUCUAAAUGCCUUUUGUCUAUAUGCCUUUUUGUUUAUAUGCCUUUUUUGUUCCUGUCUUAAAUAUGACUUGAAUAUUUGUACCAUGGUAAAUGGUUCUUUAUAUAUUUGUUUGAAUUAUGGGGAAUAAGAUUAUAACACAAUAUUGACUGCUGUGCUUCAAUUUUUGACAUUUUUACCUAGUAUGCCUGUUUGUUUUAUUUACAAAUGAUUGUCAAUUUAAUGGAAUUUAAUAUGACAGUCAUACAAGUAAAAUGUUUAGCUAGCUUUAAAACCAAAUUUAAACCAUCAUUUUUGUAUAAAAAGAAAAUGCCUGUACCAAGUCAGGAAUAUGACAGUUGGUCUUCAUUGGUUUGAUAUGGUCACUUUUGUAUAUUGUACAUACAUAACUAACUUGUUUUAUGUUCAAUUAUUGGCUCUUUUUAAAAUUAUUUCAGGAGAAUUUCCCAACUUGUGAAAUAAUCUGACAAUAUCUGAAGAAAUCUUUUGGCGACUUUUAUAAACAGGAGAAUUUCUAAAUUUGUGGAAUUAUUUCUAAGCAACAGAAGAAAAAAGGUGGACUUUUUCAAGGUUGAUACAAAACAUGACUUUUCUAAACUAUAGUGGAUGUGUCGUCAUGCAAACACAAUGAGCUCUUAAAUUUUG